AUGGUGUUGCUUGACAUUAGGGGUAUGUUGCAGUCCAUGGGCAAAGACAUAGCUGAUUUCGCUCUUCGAUGCAUUGACGAAGCGUUCGACCCAACCGAGGGCGAGGCCAGAGAAGUGAUCGAGGAAUCCAACGUCGAUUUUGACAUCAACGACACUAAAUUGGCUUCGUCGCUAAACUCAGAGCAGAGGGCUGCAUACGAUGAGAUACUAGCUUCUGUUGAACAGGGUGGUGUGUUCUUUGUUGAUGGCCCGGGAGGUACAGGGAAGACCUUCCUGUACAGGGCGCUGCUCGCCAAGGUUCGAAGCGAGGGAAGCAUCUCUAUCGCUACCGCGGCGUCAGGCGUCGCCGCUUCUAUCAUGCCUGGAGGCAGGACUGCCCACUCGAGGUUCAAGAUCCCGUUG
rnacentral:rRNA from 1 species